rnacentral:rRNA from 1 species
CAAGUCGAACGGCAGCGCGGGGCAACCUGGCGGCGAGUGGCGAACGGGUGAGUAAUAUAUCGGAACGUACCCUGGAGUGGGGGAUAACGUAGCGAAAGUUACNCUAAUACCGCAUACGAUCUAAGGAUGAAAGUGGGGGAUCGCAAGACCUCAUGCUCCUGGAGCGGCCGAUAUCUGAUUAGCUAGUUGGUAGGGUAAAAGCCUACCAAGGCAUCGAUCAGUAGCUGGUCUGAGAGGACGACCAGCCACACUGGAACUGAGACACGGUCCAGACUCCUACGGGAGGCAGCAGUGGGGAAUUUUGGACAAUGGGCGCAAGCCUGAUCCAGCAAUGCCGCGUGAGUGAAGAAGGCCUUCGGGUUGUAAAGCUCUUUUGUCAGGGAAGAAACGGACUUUUCUAAUACAGAGGUCUAAUGACGGUACCUGAAGAAUAAGCACCGGCUAACUACGUGCCAGCAGCCGCGGUAAUACGUAGGGUGCAAGCGUUAAUCGGAAUUACUGGGCGUAAAGCGUGCGCAGGCGGUUUUGUAAGACUGUCGUGAAAUCCCCGGGCUCAACCUGGGAAUGGCGAUGGUGACUGCAAGGCUAGAGUUUGGCAGAGGGGGGUAGAAUUCCACGUGUAGCAGUGAAAUGCC